rnacentral:rRNA from 1 species
UGGGGAAUAUUGCACAAUGGGCGAAAGCCUGAUGCAGCAACGCCGCGUGAGUGAUGAAGGUCUUCGGAUUGUAAAGCUCUGUCUUUUGGGACGAUAAUGACGGUACCAAAGGAGGAAGCCACGGCUAACUACGUGCCAGCAGCCGCGGUAAUACGUAGGUGGCGAGCGUUGUCCGGAUUUACUGGGCGUAAAGGGUGCGUAGGCGGAUGUUUAAGUGAGAUGUGAAAUACCCGGGCUUAACUUGGGUGCUGCAUUUCAAACUGGAUAUCUAGAGUGCAGGAGAGGAGAAUGGAAUUCCUAGUGUAGCAGUGAAAUGCGUAGAGAUUAGGAAGAACACCAGUGGCGAAGGCGAUUCUCUGGACUGUAACUGACGCUGAGGCACGAAAGCGUGGGUAGCAAACAGGAUUAGAUACCCUGGUAGUCCACGCCGUAAACGAUGAGUACUAGGUGUAGGAGGUAUCGACCCCUUCUGUGCCGCAGUAAACACAUUAAGUACUCCGCCUGGGAAGUACGAUCGCAAGAUUAAAAC